AGAGCGAACGCUGGCGGCAGGCCUAACACAUGCAAGUCGAGCGCCCCGCAAGGGGAGCGGCAGACGGGAGAGUAACACGUGGGAACGUACCCUUUGGUUCGGAACAACACAGGGAAACUUGUGCUAAUACCGGAUAAGCCCUUACGGGGAAAGAUUUAUUGCCAAAGGAUCGGCCCGCGUCUGAUUAGCUUGUUGGUGAGGUAACGGCUCACCAAGGCUACGAUCAGUAGCUGGUCUGAGAGGAUGAUCAGCCUCACUGGGACUGAGACACGGCCCAGACUCCUACGGGAGGCAGCAGUGGGGAAUAUUGGACAAUGGGCGCAAGCCUGAUCCAGCCAUGCCGCGUGGAUGAUGAAGGCCCUAGGGUUGUAAAGUCCUUUCGACGGGGAAGAUAAUGACGGUACCCGUAGAAUAAGCCCCGGCUAACUUCGUGCCAGCAGCCGC
rnacentral:rRNA from 1 species